rnacentral:miRNA from 1 species
UCCUGACCUGCUCUUUGGGGCUGGUGGUGGGCUUCCCCGCCAGCCCCAAAGAGCAGGUCAGGA